rnacentral:rRNA from 1 species
CCUGCUCAGUGUUUAUAAUAAAUAGCCGCAGUAAAACUGUGCUAAGGUAGCAUAAUAAUUUGCUUUCUAAUUAAAAGAUAGAAUAAAAGGUUAAACAAUGAGAUUCUGUUUCUAUUAAUAAAAACAAAUUAAUUUUAAGGUUAAAACUCCUUAAUUAAAAGAUAAGACGACAAGACCCUGACAAACUCAUAUAUUUAGUUGGGGUGACAUAUUAAUAAAAACUUAAUUUAAAAAAAAAUUCAAACCCUACCAAAAGAAAAAGCUAAGUUACUGCAGGGAUAACAGCGCAAUUUUUUUCUAAAGAUCUAAUUUAAAAAAAAGAUUACGACCUCGAUGUUGAAUUAUUUAAUCUAUUUGGUGCAAAAACUAAAAAAGAAAGUCUGUUCGACUAUUAAUUAAAUACAU